AAUCGAUUACAGGACAAGUGCUGCCCCGGAGGCUCCGCGACGCGCGCACUCCCUCGCGCCCACCCGCGCGCCCGGCCGCGUCGCCCCCAGCCCGUUGGUCCCCGGACUGCGGACCCCGCCCCCGACGGGGGCCAGGUAACCCGCUUCCGAGUGUGCCACGGCGACCCCCAUCUCCCCUCCCCGUGUCAUAAUAAAUCUCACGUUUUCUGCCGGCUGGAGGCUUGGAGCGGUGAGGUGACGUUCAUUUCGGCCGCGUGAAGUUUUCUUUCAAACUGGGAUUGGUGGGGAGGCCGGGGGAAGGGAGCGGGGCGGCGAUCUUGGCGCCCUGCGCGGAGUCCGGGAGCCGCGUCCCGGCCGAGUCGGGGAGUGUGCGUGGAGCCUCCCACCUACUGGUCUCCGCCGGCAACUCUGCGGCCCCAUUUCGGAAAGCGCACCGCAUUGACCGGGACCUGAAGCGGGAUAAGAGGGGUCCUGGGGAAUAGACUGAGAAAGACAUUCAUGUCUGAGAUGAAGCUCAACUAUUACUAUUUUGAAAGUGCUUUAACAGUGCAAGUUUAAAAACUAAAGUGUUGACUUGCUUUUUCUCCCCCGGGGCAUGUGCCACGUCUUCCAAAGUCAAAGGAACGGAUGAGUACAAAAAGUUGCUACCCUUGAAGUGUUACCUAUCACUAUCAACCACAGCUUGUUUAUUUGGAAAGAACUUAAGUGAACCGUCAAGAGAAAAACAAAUGCAUAUUCUUUCUACAAAUAGUAGCAUUUAGUAUCUUUCCUGACCACAUUUGCGAAAAGAGGGAAUAGAGACUUCUAUAAUUAAAGGGAAAAGGAAAAUGAAAGGAGCUGAAAAUAGUGAACUGUGUAGUCUGGAUGGCUGAAAUUUGAAAACACAUGAAAUUAUCAGGACUGCCAAACGGUGUUCCUGAGAAACCAUAUCACAGAUUGUGAAGAAAAUCAAUGCUAGAAGAGUCGGAACAGGCACCGUACUCUUACUCCUUUGAAGAAUCCCAGAAAUAGUUGUUGAGGUUUUUUUUUUCUGCUGAGAAAAAAAGAUAUAUUGGAAAUUAAGUCAUCAACAGUACCUUAAGCACCACUCUGUUAUGGUGUAUCUAACUCAUCCAGAGAAAUCAAGAUUAUGUUUUCAUACCAAGAUUGGGGGUUUUAUUUCAUGCCUGUGGAGUCUAUAGUCCUAAGAUUCACAAUGCAAUCCACUCAUGGGAAAGAACCCUUGCAUAAACUGUAAUUCACUUUGUUCAGAAUUUCUCUGGGUAGUUUUGUUUGUUUGUUCGUUUUGGUUUUGUUUUUGUUGAGACAGAGUCUCACUCUGUCACCCAGGCUGGAGUGCAGUGGCGCCGUCUCGGCUCACUACAAUCUCUGCUUCCUGGGUUCAUGCGAUUCUCCUGCCUCAGCCUUCUGAGUAGCUGGGAUCACAGGCGCCCACCACCACACCUGGCUAAUUUUUGUAUUUUUUAGUAGAGACAGGGUUUCACCAUGCUGGCCAGGGUGGCCUCGAACUCCUGACCUCAGGUGAUCUCCCAAAGUGCUGGGUCUCCCAAAGUGCUGGGAUUACAGGCGUGAGCAAUUGCGCCUGGCCUCUCUGGGUAGUAUUUUGAUAGUUAGAGGGUGCAUUUAUUUCUGUCCUUUGCCAGAAGACAUAGACUGUACACAUUUUUUUAAGGUACUUAUAUAACUAUACUGUACAUUAAAAUAUACCACUAGGGAAGUGGAGUACCAUGUUCUUUGGCCACUGUAUCCAGUUUGGAGAGUUAAGUUUUUACUUUAGGGAAGAAGUGGCAGGGUGGGGAGGAAACAGACCCCUCAGCCCUUACCAUUUUUCACGUAGCUGGUUCUUUCUCAUCCUUUCUGUCCCAUCCUACCCAAACAUUUUCCUGCACCAACUUCUAUUGUAGCACCUUGAAUAUUUCCUUCAUAACAUUGUUUUCUCAGAAGUAGAAUAGUAUUUGGUACAAGUUGGUACUCAAUAAACAUUUAUUAAAUGAAUGAAUAUGGAGGAAAUGAUGUACUCAGCUGGCUUUCAUGUAUUAAACUCUAUUUUCAAAGGACGAAAAGGGUCCCAUUUCCAAGAUACAUGCUGAUUUCAUAAAGAAUUUGGUCAGAUCUUGGCUCAUAAGUCAUAUUACAAAUAUCUUUAACAGGUCAGCUCUGGCUUACAAGCCACACAAAGGAUCUGAACCUCUUGGUAGAUAACAGUUAUAUUUACAAAAUGUAUAUAAAAUAAAAUGUUACAUAAAUUAAAAAUAAAAUUAUAUAUAAAUAUAUAUUUUUAACAUUUAUAUAUUAAUUUUGCAAAUAUAAAUAUGAAAAGUGGCUAACAUUGUAUAUAAAAUGCAAUUUGGAAU
rnacentral:lncRNA from 10 species